GAGAAGGAAGGAACUAGAAGAAGAACUAGAGGAAGGAAGAUCUGAAGUUGUAUCGUGUUCUGACCGACUUGAGGAGCUAAAAAUACAACAAGAGAACCUGGAGGAUGAGAGAGAAAGCAAGUUUUCCGUCCUACUUCAACUACAAUCAAGGGCUAGAUGGUAUAGACAGAUGAAAGAUCACAAUUACCGUUUGACACGAGGACGUGAUGAAGAAAAUCCGGAUGAUGAGUUUAAAGAGAUUAAAUCAAUCCUUCAAUCCCUCUCUGAAACCUUCCCACACUUCUCUAAAACCUUUAGAAAGGUUAGAAACAUGCUCAUCACUGUUUCUUUACUACAGGAGAGAACUAAACUGGAGUAGUUCUAAACUAUACAGGAGAGAACUAAAGUGGGGUAGUUCUAAACUAUACAGAGAGAACUAAACUGGAGUAGUUCUAAACUAUACAGGAGAGAACUAAAGUGGGGUAGUUCUAAACUAUACAGAGAGAACUAAACUGGAGUAGUUCUAAAAUAUACAGGAGAGAACUAAAGUGGAGUAGUUCUAAACUAUAAAGGAGAGAACUAAACUGGAGUAGUUCUAAACUAUAACAGGAGAGAACUAAACUGGAGUAGUUCUAACAAUAAAGUAGAGAACUAAACUGGAGUAGUUCUAAACUAUACAGGAGAGAACUAAACUGGAGUAGUGUUAAACUAUACAGGAGAGAACUAAACUGGAGUAGUUCUAAACUAUAAAGGAGAGAACUAAAGGGGAGGAGUUCUAAACUAUACAGGAGAGAACUAAACUGGAGUAGUUCUAAACUAUAAAAGGAGAGAACUAAACUGGAGUAGUUCUAAACUAUAUAGGAGAGAACUAAACUAGAGUAGGUCUAAACUAUACAGGAGAGAACAAAACUGGAGUUGUUCUAAACUAUAUAGGAGAGAACUAAACUGGAGUAGUUCUAAACUAUACAGCAGAGAACUAAACUGGAGUAGUUCUAAACUAUACAGGAGAGAACUAAACUGGAGUAGUUCUAAACUAUAACAGGAGAGAACUAAACUGGAGUAGUUUUAAACUAUAUAGGAGAGAACUAAACUAUAGUAGUUCUAAACUAUACAGGAGAGAACUAAACUG